AGGGCCCCUUUGUAUCGAGUCUCUGAGUGGCUUCUCAGGCCUUCCACUCAGAAUAUCUCCCCUCAGGCCAGCACUCCAAAGGCUGGGCCUCCCUACCCCUCAACAUCUUCCAGGGCAAAGCCAUGCCUCCCUCAUCAGAUGCUCCAGGACAGGGCCUUCCACUGAGAACGCCUAGAUUAGGACCAACCCCUAGGCAAGGUCUUCUCCUGGGACCUUCCUAGAACAGGGCCAUACCUCCUGACUCAGACCCCUAGACCUUAGCUUCCACUUACCUGGGACAGGAACCUCCCAGAUCUCCGGUGUGUGAGGCGGACAUAGGCCAGGACAGGCAGGGGAUGUCGGUGCCCAACAAGGGCCACACGGAAGGCCUCCUCCAGGCGAUGUCGGACAAAGGCCUGGUGGUGGGCAGGUGGCAGCCUGGGUGGGAGGUAGAUGCUGGGGAAGAGGGCGCUGGAGGCGGCCCAGAGCCAAUGCAGUUGAGUGUUGCGGGCAAAUGGUCAUGUUCUGACCGUGGAAAUGCUGGCCACGGUUGGCUAUGAUGCCCAGAGCAUUGAGUGGCAGGUGCACACCAAAGCGGGCCUUACAGUGUGCUGAGGGUACAUUCCACAGCACAGAGAAGGGGCGUUCAGGAACCUGUGGUAGGGGCUGGCCACAACCCAGGCACAGGGCCACCCCCAGCACCAGGGCUGGGCCCAGUUGCGUGGUCAUUCCCCAAGGAUGGAAACCUGCAGGAGAGAGGGGGGUGUAAGCUUAGAGUCCGCAGCUAUGGCCACACCUUCCACAUGGCAGGGAAAGCCAGGAAAGCUCCCCCAGCUCCUCCCCAUCCUUACAGGAGGAGCUGGGGAAAGCAUGUUUCCCCAGGGGUCUCUUGGGCCUUUUAAAGCAGCCACACCGCAAGCUGGCUAUGAUGCC
rnacentral:lncRNA from 1 species